rnacentral:rRNA from 1 species
GACAGAGGGUGCGAACGUUGUUCGGAAUUACUGGGCGUAAAGCGCGUGUAGGCGGCAACGCAAGUCGGACGUGAAAUCCCACGGCUCAACCGUGGAAGUGCACUCGAAACUGCGUAGCUAGAGUCCUGGAGAGGAAGGUGGAAUGCUUGGUGUAGAGGUGAAAUUCGUAGAUAUCAAGCGGAACACCGGUGGCGAAGGCGGCCUUCUGGACAGUGACUGACGCUGAGACGCGAAAGCCAGGGGAGCAAACGGG